UACGGGGGGAGCAAGCGUUGUUCGGAUUUACUGGGCGUAAAGGGCGCGUAGGCGGCGUAACAAGUCACUUGUGAAAACUCGGGGCUUAACUCCGGGCCUGCAGUGGGUACGGGCAGACUAGAGUGCGGUAGGGGAGACUGGAAUUCCUGGUGUAGCGGUGAAAUGCGCAGAUAUCAGGAGGAACACCGGUGGCGAAGGCGGGUCUCUGGGCCGUAACUGACGCUGAGGAGCGAAAGCGUGGGGAGCGAACAGG
rnacentral:rRNA from 1 species